AACGUAGGACACGAGCGUUAUCCGGAGUUACUGGGCGUAAAGGGCGGGUAGGUGGUGCGAUAAGACUGGUGCGAAAGCCUUCGGCUUAACCGAGGGAGGACACUGGUGACUGUCGGACUUGAGGCAGAUAGAGGGGUGUAGAAUUCCGGGUGUAGUGGUGAAAUGCGUAGAGAUCCGGAGGAAUACCAGAGGCGAAGGCGGCACCCUGGGUCUGACCUGACACUGAUCCGCGACAGCAUGGGGAGCGAACGGG
rnacentral:rRNA from 1 species